rnacentral:rRNA from 1 species
AUUGAACGCUGGCGGCAGGCCUAACACAUGCAAGUCGAACGGUAGCACAGAGAGCUUGCUCUCGGGUGACGAGUGGCGGACGGGUGAGUAAUGUCUGGGAAACUGCCUGAUGGAGGGGGAUAACUACUGGAAACGGUAGCCAAUACCGCAUAACGUCGCAAGACCAAAGAGGGGGACCUUCGGGCCUCUUGCCAUCAGAUGUGCCCAGAUGGGAUUAGCUAGUAGGUGGGGUAACGGCUCACCUAGGCGACGAUCCCUAGCUGGUCUGAGAGGAUGACCAGCCACACUGGAACUGAGACACGGUCCAGACUCCUACGGGAGGCAGCAGUGGGGAAUAUUGCACAAUGGGCGCAAGCCUGAUGCAGCCAUGCCGCGUGUAUGAAGAAGGCCUUCGGGUUGUAAAGUACUUUCAGCGGGGAGGAAGGUGUUGUGGUUAAUAACCACAGCAAUUGACGUUACCCGCAGAAGAAGCACCGGCUAACUCCGUGCCAGCAGCCGCAGUAA